UGGGGAAUAUUGCACAAUGGGCGCAAGCCUGAUGCAGCCAUGCCGCGUGUAUGAAGAAGGCCUUCGGGUUGUAAAGUACUUUCAGCGGGGAGGAAGGUGUUGUGGUUAAUAACCACAGCAAUUGACGUUACCCGCAGAAGAAGCACCGGCUAACUCCGUGCCAGCAGCCGCGGUAAUACGGAGGGUGCAAGCGUUAAUCGGAAUUACUGGGCGUAAAGCGCACGCAGGGGGUCUGUCAAGUCGGAUGUGAAAGCCCCGGGCUCAACCUGGGAACUGCAUCCGAAACUGGCAGGCUUGAGUCUUGUAGAGGGGGGUAGAAGUCCAGGUGUAGCGGUGAAAUGCGUAGAGAUCUGGAGGAAUACCGGUGGCGAAGGCGG
rnacentral:rRNA from 1 species